rnacentral:tRNA from 1 species
GGGGUUGUGGCUCAGCAGUUGAGCGCUCGCCUAGCAUGUGUGAGGCACUGGGUUCGAUCCUCAGCACCACA